GAUAGUUCAGCUGGUUAGAGCUUGGUGCAGAUAACGCCAAGGUUGCAGGUUCCAUCCCCACAAGGGACA
rnacentral:tRNA from 1 species